GUGCCAGCCGCCGCGGUAAGACGAACCGUGCGAACGUUGUUCGGAUUCACUGGGCUUAAAGGGCGCGUAGGCGGACUCGCAAGUCUGUGGUGAAAGCCCCCAGCUCAACUGGGGAAGUGCCGUGGAUACUGUGAGUCUGGAGGAGGGUAGGGGCAUCUGGAACGCUGGGUGGAGCGGUGAAAUGCGUUGAUAUCCAGCGGAACUCCGGUGGCGAAGGCGAGGUGCUGGACCCUUUCUGACGCUGAUGCGCGAAAGCCAGGGGAGCAAACGGGAUUAGAUACCCCCGUAGUCC
rnacentral:rRNA from 1 species